UCGAGAAUUUUUCACAAUGGACGAAAGUCUGAUGGAGCGACGCCGCGUGGAGGAUGAAGGUUUUCGGAUUGUAAACUCCUGUCACUGCAGAACAAGGGUAGGUUUGUUAAUAGCAAAUCUAUUUGAUGGUAUGCGGAGAGGAAGGGACGGCUAACUCUGUGCCAGCAGCCGCGGUAAGACAGAGGUCCCGAGCGUUGUUCGGAUUCAUUGGGCGUAAAGGGUGUGUAGGAGGUCGGGUAAGUCAGGUGUGAAAUCUCAGAGCUUAACUCUGAAACUGCGCUUGAUACUGCUCGGCUAGAGGAUCGGAGGGGGUAACGGAAUUUAUGGUGUAGCAGUGAAAUGCGUAGAUAUCAUAAGGAACACCGGUGGCGAAGGCGGUUACCUGGAAGAUUCCUGACUCUGAAACACGAAAGCCAGGGGAGCAAACGG
rnacentral:rRNA from 1 species